rnacentral:rRNA from 1 species
UACGUAGGGGGCUAGCGUUGUCCGGAAUCAUUGGGCGUAAAGAGCGCGUAGGCGGCCAGAUAAGUCCGGUGUGAAAGUCACAGGCUCAACCUGUGAAUGCCGCUGGAAACUGUCUGGCUUGAGUCCGGGAGGGGCGAGUGGAAUUCCUGGUGUAGCGGUGAAAUGCGCAGAUAUCGGGAGGAACACCAAUGGCGAAGGCAGCUUGCUGGGACGUGACUGACGCUGAGGUGCGAAAGCGUGGGGAGCAAACAGG